CCUACGGGCGGCAGCAGUAGGGAAUAUUUCACAAUGGGCGAAAGCCUGAUGGAGCAACGCCGCGUGCAGGAUGAAGGCCUUCGGGUUGUAAACUGCUUUUAUAAGGGAGAAAGAUGAUGGUAACUUAAGAAUAAGGAACGGAUAACAACGGGCCAGCAGCCGCGGUCAAACGUAGGAGCCGAGCAUUAUCCGGCGUGACUGGGUGUAAAGAGGUGCGUAGGUGGCCUAGUUAGUAGCUAGUGAAAUCUGGUGGCUCAACCCUUCCGACUAUUAGCUAAACUGCUAAGCUCGAGACCGUUAGAGGUAACUGGAAUUUCUAGUGUAGGGGUGAAAUCCGUAGAUAUUAGCAGGAACACCGAUCGCGUAGGCAGCUUACUGGGCCGGUUCUGACACUCAGGCACGAAAGCGUCGGGAGCAAACAGGAUUAGAUACCCUAGUAGUC
rnacentral:rRNA from 1 species